UACGUAGGGUGCAAGCGUUAUCCGGAAUGAUUGGGCGUAAAGCGUCCGCAGGUGGCUGUGUAAGUCUGCUGUUAAAGAGUCUAGCUCAACUAGAUACAAGCAGUGGAAACUACACGGCUAGAGUACGUUCGGGGCAGAGGGAAUUCCUGGUGUAGCGGUGAAAUGCGUAGAGAUCAGGAAGAACACCGGUGGCGAAGGCGCUCUGCUAGGCCGUAACUGACACUGAGGGACGAAAGCUAGGGGAGCGAAUGGG
rnacentral:rRNA from 1 species